GCAGCAUCAUAGAAGAGGGAGUCCAGCAGCAUCACAGAAGAGGGAGUCCAGCAGCAUCACAGAAGAGGGAGCCCAGCAGCAUCAUAGAAGAGGGAGCAGAGUAUAAGGGCCAGAGAACCAGAAUGUCUGCUGGGAGGCACUGGGUUCUAUGUAUGAAAAAGAAGCUGCAACCAUGAAAUCAACAAUACUCAACAAUGCCUGGAAAAUGACAAUGCUAAUGUAGAAAGGCUCCUACCUUAGAUGAAGAGCUACGGGUAAUACAUCAACGGCUGCUUAAAAGAGAGAAAAACCAGGCUUCUCCGGGGAUAAACUUCCUGAUAGGCUAUCCAGCUUCAAGUGUUCUGCCUAGGUGCCCCAAAUACAGAGCUCCCUGAGGACCCCAAAGGAGUGUAAAACAGACGCAAGAUGGAUGGCAUGACAGGAGCCUGCAUGCACUGCUCUAUGCUUUUCAGAAUCCAGUCUUCUAACCAUGUACCUGUAGAAGAAAUAGUUGAAAUGUGUGUCUCCACCUCCUCUCUCGUUCUGGAGAAGCAGAGUACUUGCUGAAAGUGGAUAUACCGUGUGGAGUAAAAGGGGCAAUGAAAAUAAGAUGUCACUGGGCCUGCGGCCCCAGUGACCUAUAAGGAGCAACUGGAGAAAGUGUGUGAGUCGCAGGGUGCCAGCAGCAGUCCCCACAGCACCUCCCCUUUCCUCUCUAAAGUGUCACAAGUUGACAACUAAUGAUGUCGUCAACCCACACAUCAAUGAAAAGGUCUAAGAUGGAUGCUCCAGUCCUCAAAGGAAUGCCUAAGCAGAAGAAGUCACGGUCCUCCACUUGGCGCAAGAAGAUGCAUGAGUGGGGCUCCAGAAACAAACUACCCUGGGCACUUCAUCUCCUCCUGUUGGUCUCAGCUUACACAGAUGCACAGCCACCACUUCAUGGUAGACUUUCCAUGGUUAUUUAAAAGGAAUAUUGGCUCGGUAUUGACACUAAUAAAUGCAGCAGACUUGGAGAGAACCUUCGAGGCUCUCUCCUGUCAGCACCAGCUCUGGUAAAACUCACAGCUGCUGAGAACGGGGAGCAAAGACCUUGCCAUAGAGGGAAGGAAGAGCGGUGUGCGAUUGGUACUUUGCAGCAUGGAUACCCUACAUAUACACACUUGCUCAGCAUGUAUUA